GGAGAGUUGUCCGAGUGGUCGAAGGUGCAGCACUCGAAAUGCUGUAGACCGAGAGGUCUCUAGGGUUCGAAUCCCUAACUCUCCGCCA
rnacentral:tRNA from 1 species